CACGCCGUAAACGAUGAGUGCUAGGUGUCGGGGGGUCAAACCUCGGUGCCGGAGCAAACGCAUUAAGCACUCCGCCUGGGGAGUACGUGCGCAAGCAUGAAACUCAAAGGAAUUGACGGGGACCCGCACAAGCAGCGGAGCAUGUGGUUUAAUUCGAAGCAACGCGAAGAACCUUACCAGGGCUUGACAUGCCCCUGACCGCUCUAGAGAUAGGGCCUUCCCUUCGGGGACAGGGGACACAGGUGG
rnacentral:rRNA from 1 species